UACGUAGGUGGCAAGCGUUGUCCGGAAUUAUUGGGCGUAAAGCGCGCGCAGGCGGUCCUUUAAGUCUGAUGUGAAAGCCCACGGCUCAACCGUGGAGGGUCAUUGGAGACUGGGGGACUUGAGUGCAGGAGAGAAGAGUGGAAUUCCACGUGUAGCGGUGAAAUGCGUAGAUAUCUGGAGGAACACCGGUGGCGAAGGCGGCAUCCUGGACCGACACUGACGCUGAGGAGCGAAAGCCAGGGGAGCAAACGGG
rnacentral:rRNA from 1 species